UUUUGGUUCGAAGUACAGUACAUUUUGCGAAGAAAAAAAGUGUCUUAGUAUCUCAACUUUUACUAAAGACAUUUAUAAAUUGUGUUUAGUAAAGAAUUGCUCUGGAAGUCAACGUAAUAUUUCCUAAGUCGGAAUUGUCUUUUCUACAAUAUUGCAUCAUGGAUGAAUACAGGCACCAUAUACUAUUCUGAACAAAUCAUAUCACAUAUUGCAACUGCCACUUUAGACCAUCACAACCACAGAACUUCAGCUUUGGCUAUUUAUCUUGUCCCAAUGCUCAUUGGGCAACAAAUCUGGAGACUAAGUAGGCUAAGAAAGUGUGGCAAUGUGACAGACAUUCCUGGGAAAUCCUGUGUGCACAUAAGCAACAGAUUAAGUGGUUUCUAUCCACUUUAGCAGACAUUUCUGUCUGACAGCUUUCUCUCUGAAUGACUUAAUGAUAAAAAUGUUAUCCUGCUGCUCUAAGUUUGAAUUGAAAACGUUGGUGAAAUUUUCAUUGGUAGCUUGACUUAAGUAUUUUGGUGAUAUCUCAGCUGCUCCCACUGUAGGGAUGGAGAAAGUGCAGAGGCACUGGUGCCCAUAGGGCAAAUUUGACUGUAUGUAAGAUGUCAUAUUUGAAAUCCUUUAAAAUUGAUAUCUUUCCACUUUUGCAAGUGUUUCUUUUAUCUCUUUCCAAACCAGGAAAAUAAAUGCUUCAAAAUAGAGAGAAAGAAAUCCCUUCCAAAAGUAUCAAUAAAUAAAAUUCUUUAAGACCCAAUUAAUUUAAACAACAACAACAUUGAAGAUCUGGUGGUUAACAGCGAUGAGGAAACAAACAAGUGGAGUUGAGUAAUGUACUUCAAUUUGAUAAGAGAGAAUAAAGGUAGCAGAAGGGAGAAAUUUUCUUUCUAUGUUCUGUGGUUAAAAGUAUGUUAUCAGAAUACAGAUUCAGUUCUUAUAUUUGCUAUUUUUUGUAAGGAUGUCAAAUACUGGAAGUGAUUGUUAAACUCAAUUUUCAUUCCCAAGCAAAAAUAUAAAGGAAAUUAAGUGAGCAUUUGCCUGGUGCAAAUCAUACAAGUGUAAUGUGAAGGAGUCUUGUUAAUUAAUUAAUUAAACAUGGACAAAACAACAACACUACUUGUUGUUUUGUCCUUGUUUAAUUAAUCUUGAAAAUUAUUUAAAGUCAAAAAGUUCCAAUAAUCAAAUUUGAAGAGUACCAUUUAAUUACUCUAAGACCAUUUUCUGGAUUCAGCAUUGUGUAAACAAUGUUCAAGGUAUUAAAUCCUUUCAAAAAGUUAAAUUCAUGAGAACUAUAAGUGAUUGUUUUAAGUGACCUUUGAAAAUCGUUUUCAGGAUAAAGGAAAAAAAGACUCCAUGCAUAC